rnacentral:lncRNA from 1 species
AACCAUUAUUAUAGAGCUGAUGAAACCAAGAUGUAGUUUGCUUAACUGAUAACAUGUAAAACGUCUGAGAGGUAGUAAAAGGUGGAGCUGGCAUUCGAGCACCUGGAUAUCUGCCUCCAUACUGAGAACGAACGUGUCAUCCAUAUGCUUUACCAUCUCCUAAUAGAAGUAGAUGUGGAGAAGAGAAGAUUCAUGUGAGAGCCAGGUCUGUACGUGGGAACUGAGAGACGAGAGAGCAUAAAAUUGUUUCCUAUAGCUUAUUUUGAAUGAUUACUUGGCUGGUAGAGAGAUUCUGAAAAGAGGUGAUUGUGGAGGAUGAAGAACUGGUCUAUUUUGAAUCAGGAAAUCCUAUUCCAGUUCUAAUUUGCUGUGAUCUGUUCCCUGAUGUUAUAUAAAAUGGCCAGAAUGUACUGCUACUGCUGAGAGGGCUGACACUCACUGCUCCAGCUCAAGAUCAAGUGCCACUCCUUCUAGUUCUGAGUAGAAAUGGGAGAAACUCAAAUGGCCUAGCUGUUCCAAAUCAAUUUCCCCUAUCAGUCUCCUUGACAACAAACAUUCCCAACUUCAUUGCUGCAUCCUGCCUGCAAUGACUCAGCACGGAACUCUCUGAUGCUGCUCCUACUUUUGCAGCAAGAAUCUGCUGUACAUGUUCUGGGAAGUGAUUUAUUCAGGUUUGAGAUCUGAGCAUGUCUACUUUCUAACCUUUAGGGUUCCUCUCGGUAUUUCUAUCAAGUAGCUUCACAGUUUCUUGUUUUGCUGGACAUCUAUAGGUUUAUUCUUAUUUGUAAAAUAC